GAUGAACGCUGGCGGCGUGCUUAACACAUGCAAGUCGAACGGUAAAAGAGAGCUUGCUCUCUGGAUCAGUGGCGAACGGGUGAGUAACACGUGAGCAAUCUGCGCCCUACUCUGGGAUAAGCGCUGGAAACGCCGUCUAAUACCGCAUACGAGCUGCGCAGCCAUCUUCAGCGGCUGGAAAAGACUGCGGUCAGGGAUGAGCUCGCGGCCUAUCAGCUCGUUGGUGAGGUAACGGCUCACCAAGGCGUCGACGGGUAGCCGGCCUGAGAGGGUGACCGGCCACACUGGGACUGAGACACGGCCCAGACUCCUACGGGAGGCAGCAGUGGGGAAUAUUGCACAAUGGGCGAAAGCCUGAUGCAGCAACGCCGCGUGAGGGACGACGGCCUUCGGGUUGUAAACCUCUUUUAGCAGGGAAGAAGCGAAAGUGACGGUACCUGCAGAAAAAGCACCGGCUAACUACGUG
rnacentral:rRNA from 1 species